AUUGAACGCUGGCGGCAGGCCUAACACAUGCAAGUCGAACGAGUGGCGGACGGGUGAGUAAUGUCUGGGAAACUGCCCGAUGGAGGGGGAUAACUACUGUAAACGGUAGCUAAUACCGCAUACCAUCGGAUGUGCCCAGAGGGGAUUAGCUAGUAGGUGGGGUAAAGGCUCACCUAGGCGACGAUCCCUAGCUGGUCUGAGAGGAUGACCAGCCACACUGGGACUGAGACACGGUCCAGACUCCUACGGGAGGCAGCAGUAGGGAAUCUUGGACAAUGGGCGCAAGCCUGAUGCAGCCAUGCCGCGUGUGUGAAGAAGGCCUUCGGAUUGUAAAGUACUUUCGUCGGGGAAGCGGUACCCGCCGAGGAAGCACCGGCUAACUCCGUGCCAGCAGCCGCGGUAAUUC
rnacentral:rRNA from 1 species